rnacentral:rRNA from 1 species
CCGAAAGCCGCGAACGGGUGAGUAACACGUGGGUUACCUGCCCCGAUGACCGGGACAACCCGAGGAAACUCGGGCUAAUACCGGAUGUGCCCGCAAGGGGAAAGGAAGCUUCGGCCUCCGCAUCGGGAUGGGCCCGCGGCCCAUUAGCUUGUUGGUGAGGUAACGGCUCACCAAGGCUGCGAUGGGUAGCUGGUCUGAGAGGACGAUCAGCCACACUGGGACUGAGACACGGCCCAG